rnacentral:sRNA from 1 species
AAGUCGUAACAAGGUUUCCGUAGGUGAACCUGCGGAAGGAUCAUUAAUGAGUUCUUUAAAGUAGACUUGAUGCUGGCGGUCUUUAUUGAUUGCAUGUGCUCGGUUUGCGCUCAACCCACUCAACACCUGUGCACCUUAUUGGAGUUAAUAGUAUUUGGAUUUCUGAAAGGAAGGUCCUUAUUACGAACACUUCAUUUUUUCAUAAACCUUUAUAUUGUCUGUCAGAAUGUAAUGCCUCUUGUAGGUGAAAUUUUAAUAUAACUUUCAACAACGGAUCUCUUGGCUCUCGCAUCGAUGAAGAACGCAGCGAAAUGCGAUAAGUAAUGUGAAUUGCAGAAUUCAGUGAAUCAUCGAAUCUUUGAACGCACCUUGCACUCCUUGGUAUUCCGAGGAGUAUGCCUGUUUGAGUGUCAUGUUAAUCUCAAAUCCCUCUUUGUAAUGAAGUUGGAUUUGGACUUGGAGUCUGCUGGCAGUUUUAUAUUGUCGGCUUCUCUUGAAUGUAUUAGCUGGGCUUUCGCUCGUGCGGUUUGGUGUGAUAGUAUUAUUCACCAUAUACGCACUUGUGUAAUGAGUCUGCUUCUAACCGUCCCGUUUGUUGGACAACUUAACUUUUUGACCUUUGACCCAAAUCAGGUAGGACUACCCGCUGAACUUAAGCAUAUCAAUAAGCGGAGGAAAAGAAACUAACAAGGAUUCCCCUAGUAACUGCGAGUGAAGCGGGAAAAGCUCAAAUUUAAAAUCUGGCGGUUUUACCGUCCGAGUUGUAAUCUGGAGAAGUGUUUUCCGUGCUGGACCGUGUACAAGUCUCCUG